rnacentral:rRNA from 1 species
UACGUAGGGGGCAAGCGUUGUCCGGAUUUAUUGGGCGUAAAGAGCGUGUAGGCGGCCAGGUAGGUCUGGUGUGAAAACUCGAGGCUUAACCUCGAGAUGUCAUCGGAAACCAUUUGGCUAGAGUCCGGAAGAGGAGAGUGGAAUUCCUGGUGUAGCGGUGAAAUGCGCAGAUAUCAGGAAGAACACCAAUGGCGAAAGCAGCUCUCUGGGGCGGUACUGACGCUGAGACGCGAAAGCGUGGGGAGCGAACAGG